rnacentral:rRNA from 1 species
AUGUCGGCAUCCACCAGCGGCGGCGGGGGGCUCUCGCCGCAGGCGGCCGCGGCGCUCCAGGAGGGCAUCGGGCUGGUGUUCGCGCGGUGGACGGCGCUGCAGAUGGCGGUGGAGAACGAGUGGGGCGGCCGCGACUCCCGCGCCAAGGCCGACCGGCUCGCCGCCGACGUCCUCUCCUUCUUCACCACCUCCAAAGGUCCAUAUUAUUUUGAUGACUUGGAGGAGAUGAUGUUUGACAACAUAUCCGAAUUCUUCAAUGCUGACUUUGAGGAUGGAAGUGUUGGGGAGCAUCUGGCCCUUGGUAACCAUUGGGGAGGUUUAGGACAAUGGGGUUGGCCUAUGUGGCGUCUCUCCCGCGACACCAGUGAGCCGCUGGGUCAUAUGGCCCAUACUGCUGUUAGCUUGAAACAGUACAGAGGCCAUUUGAAGGGAAUCAAGAUGGUUGCUGAACAAGUAUUGAUUAUGCAUGAAGAAUGCCUGCAAAACAACUAUUCGUCGAUUGAGAAGCUAAGGAACACGCGUGCUCAAGCAAAUGCUGUUUCCCAAAGUAGAAUGAUGGUAACUGAUGAAGGCGAUGAUAGCUCGGAUGAUAGCUCGGACGAUGACGACGGCGAUGAACCAGCCAGGGCAGAUGAUAUGUCGGUGGAUGAGCCAAAGCCUUGCAAGCCUGCCCCUGAUGCUGACGGGUGGACUGUUGUGCCACCGAAGCGCGGCGGCCGGGGCAAGAAUUAA